rnacentral:rRNA from 1 species
CUAGUGGCGAACGGGUGAGUAACACGUAGGUAACCUGCCCAUGUGCCCGGGAUAACUUCUGGAAACGGAUGCUAAAACCGGAUAGGUAGCAGACAAGCAUUUGACUGCUAUUAAAGUGGCUAAGGCCAUGAACAUGGAUGGACCUGCGGUGCAUUAGCUAGUUGGUGAGGUAACGGCCCACCAAGGCGACGAUGCAUAGCCGGCCUGAGAGGGCGGACGGCCACAUUGGGACUGAGACACGGCCCAAACUCCUACGGGAGGCAGCAGUAGGGAAUUUUCGUCAAUGGGGGGAACCCUGAACGAGCAAUGCCGCGUGAGUGAGGAAGGUCUUCGGAUCGUAAAGCUCUGUUGUAAGAGAAAAACGACAUUCAUAGGGAAUGAUGAGUGAGUGAUGGUAUCUUACCAGAAAGUCACGGCUAACUACGUGCCAGCAGCCGCGGUAAUACGUAGGUGGCGAGCGUUAUCCGGAAUGAUUGGGCGUAAAGGGUGCGUAGGUGGCAGAACAAGUCUGGAGUAAAAGGUAUGGGCUCAACCCGUACUGGCUCUGGAAACUGUUCAGCUAGAGAACAGAAGAGGACGGCGGAACUCCAUGUGUAGCGGUAAAAUGCGUAGAUAUAUGGAAGAACACCGGUGGCGAAGGC